CAGGGCUCUAGAGUGCGACCAAUUUGGUCGCAAAUGCGACCAAAUUUUUCAGUGGUGCGACUAAAAAAAAUCUUUGGUCGCACCAGUGCGACCAACUGUUCGGGUAACAGAAAAAAAUAAAUAAAUCUCUGCAACUCUCCGUCUGGUCAACAACAGACACACAUUAUGCCCCUAUCAUGGACUAAACCAAUCAGAGAUAGUCAGGGGCGGGACCUCUCUGAUCGGCCGUGGUCCAGUUGAAAGUGCAGGUGGAAGAGGGAGGUGAGUAGCUUGAAUAAAGCGAUAUCGAUUCAUUAAAUCCUGAAUUGACUUUUAAAUAUAACUGUGAAACGCCAGAUUCUCAGAUUAAAGCUCACAAAACUAUUUCAACAACCACCAAACAGCAAAUGAGAGCAGGUUUUGUCUCUCCAACCAAAAUUCGCCGAGCGAGCAGCAAAAGAAGCAGCAAACUACACUUCACAUUUGAUCAAUGUUGUCAUGAAUUCCCUCUGACUUUUGCUGUUUUGCUUCCACCAUGAUAAAAAUCACUCUCUCUCUCUUUCUCUCUGUACUUCAAGAACAGUUUCCCAUCUCAAAUCUCUGUUUUCUGCAUUAUUCAUUCGCUUAUUACCCACCAGUCUACCGUUGUUUACAGCGCUGUCUUUUUCUUUUUCUUUUCUUUUUCUUUUUUUCACUUAAAUGACCUCGGACAAGAAAGCCUAAUUUCUGCUGUUCAAUACUGAAGAAAUUUAAACUUUUUAAAAUUAUACAAAAUUACAGAAUAUUGCAGAAUAAUUUUAAGGUUAUCUGCUAUAAAAACUCAGGUCAGAAAAAUCUCCUUCAUGUUUUUCUGUGUUUUAUUCUCAGUUACUUUGACACAAAGGCAUCUGCUGUGAUGUUCACAAUUCUGAUGAAGUCUCAUGUGUAUCAGUGCUGAUAAAUGAUCAGAAUUAUAAUAUUUCUGAGUGUCUGAGGCUAAAUUGAAUCGAAUCAGGACUUUGAGAACCGGAAUCGAAUGGAUUAUAGAAAUCAGUGAUGAUACCCAGCACUAGUGAGCAGCCUAGGCCUGACAGAAGUGGAUGUAGCUGUGGGUAAUAAGAAAAGAUGAAAAGAACUACUGAUAACUUUUUUGUUAAGGCCUGAUCCGUCUGAAAUUCAUAGCCAGCUCUGACACGGUGCCAUCAACCUCUGAACGCUGAAAAAGCAGCAGUGUAUCCAGAAAACACAUGAUAUGCUGCAAUAAAUGCACUGCCCAAGUGUCCCCUCUCCCCACUGCCUUUCAGCAGCAGGCAGCAGCAAACAGGUCGUCAGAGGAGGCCAAGAUGAUGAUUAAGUUUAACAUUUUCUACAAUAUUGACAAAGCACUUUAAGCACAAGAUUGUUAGUUAAUCAUUUAGAAAUCAAUAUUGUCUGUAUGGACUGCAAUUUCCCCCCAAAAAAUGUGCACAUGUAAAACUGCGGUGUUAAGCGAUGCGGUUGAAAAAUUUGAGUGCGCCUAACUUUUGUGGCGGUACGCCUAAAUUUUUAAAGUUGGGCGCACCGGUGCGCCCAUGGCAAAAAGUUAGUCUAGAG
ensembl:lncRNA